rnacentral:lncRNA from 1 species
GGCGUUGGCGUGGUUCGGUUGUGUUGGCGUGCUGCUGUCGUCUCGUGUGUUCCGUUCUUGCUCAGAAGGAAAGAGCGCAGGCGUUCUGAGUCCUGUGGCGGCAAGCGAACUCCGAUUUUCUCUAGUGUCGCGUCAACUGCCGCUGGAGAGCAGUGUGCAUCUCACCCCGUGUUUUAGUACUCAUCAACCCCUAUUUUUUCGCUCGUGUGAGAGUGACCGUCAAUCAUCGAAGAUGAAAACAUUCAAUUUCUAAUAG